AAAAAGGAUAUGAAUCGCUUGUAGGCAGUGGACAAGCUGACUACAAGCACUCAAGCAAGAAAAGAGUUGCAUUUAAACAUGGUGAUGUUAUAUUAGGCAUGGAUGGAAGGAGAUACCAGCUCCUCAGUGGACCUCCAGGGCCUGUUGGACCACCAGGCAAAAGAGGGUGUGCAGGGAAAAGGGGCUAUAUUGGAUACAAGGGUGAUAAGGGUUCUCAAGGAGUCCGAGGAGCAGAUGGGCCAAGGGGCAUACCAGGACCUCCAGGUCCACCAGGACUCCCAGUCCUCUACCU